rnacentral:sRNA from 1 species
UUUUAUCCUUUGCGUUAGGGAUUGAAACGGCAUCCUUUUCUUCGCCUUUUUAGGCGGAGAAAGAUAUAGUGUAAAGCCCGUAAAAAC